rnacentral:rRNA from 1 species
AAAGAUUAAGCCAUGCAUGUCUAAGUAUAAGCUUUUAUACGGUGAAACUGCGAAUGGCUCAUUAAAACAGUUAUAGUUUAUUUGAUGGUCACUUACUACUUGGAUAACCGUGGUAAUUCUAGAGCUAAUACAUGCGUCAAGACCCGACUUUUUGGAAGGGUUGUAUUUAUUAGAUAAAGAACCAAUCCAUGCUCGCAUGGUUUUGUGGUGAUUCAUAAUAACUGAUCGAAUCGCAUGCCUUCGGGCGGCGAUGUAUCAUUCAAGUUUCUGACCUAUCAGCUUCCGACGGUAGGGUAUUGGCCUACCGUGGCAA